rnacentral:lncRNA from 1 species
UACAUCAUCAUCCCCCCCCCACAGCCCAAUCCCUAGUUAGAAUGUUAGCACAAUGAGAGCAGGUACCACAGCAAUUGUGUGUAUGAUUGUGCUUUAGUACGGUGCCUGGUACAUGUUAGAUGCUCAACAAAUAUGUCUGAAUAAUAAAAUAAGUCAAUAAAUGAUUGAGGGCUAAAACUGCAGUAAAUCAAAUCUUCUGUGCUUGCUUUACUUAGUAUCAUGCUAAUUUGCAUUCAUUGUGUAUAGGCUAGCCAAGAGAGAAGGUGAUACUUCUAUACCUCAUGGUUAUGUCAGUCUAAAGUGGCAUUAAAAAAUACUAUGAAUAAAUCAUCAAGUCCGUGACCUAUUGAGAGUUUAACAGGAGCCAAGUUCAAGAGGACAUAAGAACAACAAAGUCAGUGAAGGAACCCAUUGGAAGUCAGUUAUUUGUGAGUCCUUAUAUUGUUCUUAUCUACCUAACUCAGGAGGAUGGGAGACCAGUAUUGGUUGUUGUAGCACAAGGAGUUAUGGUACCCUGGAGAAUUGUACAGGGUUGUGGCUUUGACAUCAAACUAGAUCUGGAUUUGAGUCUCGGCUUCAUUAUUUCCAGUCGUAUGGCUUUGGGCUCAUUGCUUCACCUUUAGAGUGUCACGUUUUCCUCAUCUGUAAAAUGUGGAUGACAGAGGAAGUAUGAGAAUUAUAGAGCACUUUGCAAUGUAUCUGACACAUAGUGCAAAAUAAAUAUAUCUGUCAUCAUCGUUAUGUUUAAUUU